rnacentral:rRNA from 1 species
UACGGAGGGGGUUAGCGUUGUUCGGAAUUACUGGGCGUAGAGCGCGCGUAGGCGGAUUAGAAAGUUGGGGGUGAAAUCCCGGGGCUCAACCCCGGAACUGCCUCCAAAACUACUAGUCUAGAGUUCGAGAGAGGUGAGUGGAAUUCCGAGUGUAGAGGUGAAAUUCGUAGAUAUUCGGAGGAACACCAGUGGCGAAGGCGGCUCACUGGCUCGAUACUGACGCUGAGGUGCGAAAGUGUGGGGAGCAAACAGC